UGUUAUAUAGUUUAUAUAAAAUAUUAAUUUUGUAAAUUGAUGAAAUAAAUUUUAUUAUAACAA
rnacentral:tRNA from 1 species